rnacentral:rRNA from 1 species
AGAAUCAACGCUGGCGGCGUGCCUCAGACAUGCAAGUCGAACGCGAAAGUCCCCUUCGGGGGACAAGUAGAGUGGCGCACGGGUGGGUAACACGUAGGUAAUCUACCUUCGGAUGGGGAAUAACAACCGGAAACGGUUGCUAAUACCGCAUAAUGCAGCGGCACCUAACGGUGACAGUUGUUAAAGCGGGGGAUCGAAAGACCUCGCGUCUGAAGAGGAGCCUGCGGCGGAUUAGCUAGUUGGUAGGGUAACGGCCUACCAAGGCGACGAUCCGUA